rnacentral:rRNA from 1 species
AACGCGAAGAACCUUACCAAGGCUUGACAUACACGAGAACGGGCCAGAAAUGGUCAACUCUUUGGACACUCGUGAACAGGUGGUGCAUGGUUGUCGUCAGCUCGUGUCGUGAGAUGUUGGGUUAAGUCCCGCAACGAGCGCAACCCUCGUCCUAUGUUGCCAGCGGGUAAUGCCGGGGACUCAUAGGAGACUGCCGGGGUCAACUCGGAGGAAGGUGGGGAUGACGUCAAGUCCUCAUGCCCCUUAUGUCUUGGGCUGCAAACAUGCUACAAUGGCCGGUACAAAGGGUUGCGAGACCGCAAGGUGGAGCGAAUCCCAAAAAGCCGGUCUCAGUUCGGAUUGGGGUCUGCAACUCGACCCCAUGAAGUCGGAGUCGCUAGUAAUCGCAGAUCAGCAACGCUGCGGUGAAUACGUUCCCGGGCCUUGUACACACCGCGCAUA